rnacentral:rRNA from 1 species
CCCUUAGAUGUUCUGGGCCGCACGCGCGCUACACUGAUGCAUGCAACGAGUUCUAUCCUUGGCCGGAAGGCCUGGGUAAUCUGUGAACGUGCAUCGUGAUAGGGAUAGAUUAUUGCAAUUAUUAAUCUUGAACGAGGAAUUCCUAGUAAACGCAAGUCAUCAGCUUGCAUUGAUUACGUCCCUGCCCUUUGUACACACCGCCCGUCGCACCUACCGAUUGAAUGGUCCGGUGAAAUCUCGGGACGGCGGCUUGGUCGCUUGCGUCCGACUGCUGAAACUUGAUUAAACCAUAUCAUUUAGAGGAAGGUGAAGUCGUANCA